UGGGGAAUAUUGCACAAUGGGCGCAAGCCUGAUGCAGCCAUGCCGCGUGUGUGAAGAAGGCCUUCGGGUUGUAAAGCACUUUCAGCGAGGAGGAAGGGUUCAGUGUUAAUAGCACUGUUCAUUGACGUUACUCGCAGAAGAAGCACCGGCUAACUCCGUGCCAGCAGCCGCGGUAAUACGGAGGGUGCAAGCGUUAAUCGGAAUUACUGGGCGUAAAGCGCACGCAGGCGGUUUGUUAAGUCAGAUGUGAAAUCCCGCGCUUAACGUGGGAACU
rnacentral:rRNA from 1 species